CCUACGGGCGGCAGCAGUGGGGAAUAUUGCGCAAUGGGCGAAAGCCUGACGCAGCGACGCCGCGUGAGGGAUGAAGGUCUUCGGAUCGUAAACCUCUGUCAGCAGGGAAGAACGGUCACUGUGCUAAUCAGCAGUGAAUUGACGGUACCUGCAAAGGAAGCACCGGCUAACUCCGUGCCAGCAGCCGCGGUAAUACGGAGGGUGCGAGCGUUAAUCGGAAUUACUGGGCGUAAAGCGCUCGUAGGCGGUAUAUCAAGUCAAGGGUGAAAUCCCCGGGCUCAACGGGGGAACUGCCUUGGAAACUGGCAACCGGGAGUGGGUGGGAGGUUGGUGGAAUUCGAGGUGUAGGGGUGAAAUGCGUAGAUAUCUGGAAGAACAUCGAUGGCGAAGGCGACUUUCUGGCGCAUAACUGACGCUGAGGAGCGAAAGCGUGGGUAGCAAACAGGAUUAGAUACCCUGGUAGUC
rnacentral:rRNA from 1 species